rnacentral:rRNA from 1 species
AACGAACGCUGGCGGCAGGCUUAACACAUGCAAGUCGAACGCAUCCUUCGGGGUGAGUGGCAGACGGGUGAGUAACGCGUGGGAACGUGCCCUUCAGUUCGGGAUAAUCCAGGGAAACUUGGGCUAAUACCGGAUACGUGCGAGAGCAGAAAGAUUUAUCGCUGAAGGAUCGGCCCACGUCUGAUUAGCUAGUUGGUGGGGUAAUGGCCCACCAAUGCGACGAUCAGUAGCUGGUCUGAGAGGAUGAUCAGCCACAUUGGGACUGAGACACGGCCCAAACUCCAACGGGAGGCAGCAGUGGGGAAUAUUGGACAAUGGGCGCAAGCCUGAUCCAGCCAUGCCGCGUGAGUGAUGAAGGCCUUAGGGUUGUAAAGCUCUUUCGUCCGGGACGAUAAUGACGGUACCGGAAGAAGAAGCCCCGGCUAACUUCGUGCCAGCAGCCGCAGUAA